CUGAAAGAGCCAAAUCCACUAAUUCGAAGGGGUGUCCACAUACCUUUAGCCAUGUAGUGUAUGUACAAGCCACCUAUUCCGGACCUGUCUGCAAUUUUUAAAGAGCGACUGCUAAAAACCAACAAAUCCCUUUGAAAACGGCCUAUGUGGCAUCUAUACGAGUCAGAAACAUUUAUUCUAGUGUCAGAAUUGAGUAAAAAAAUGUAAAUAGGAUCAUUUUGGUCAUAAAGUCAGUCUCGUCUAAAAUUGAGUUGGGAACCUCCGGGUGUCACGAGUAAGUAAAGGUUGGGUUUGCAUUACAAUUGUCAAUAAAUCAUGUCCCCUCUUUGCCAAGCUCCAUGUGCAAAUCCGCCUCUCUGCCCACUUCGCUUCCCUUUAUUGAAUGGGGCUCCGUUUCAUCUCCCCAACCAACAAGUUCAAAGAAUCACAGCCGUUUUUGAGACUGAGAAGCCCUAUACGGAUUGACCAUGCAACGCAUGCUUCCAGCAAGGAUGCACAGCCAUCAACUAUGGUUUGCAUGCCCUGCCGAAGGACCCUAUCAUGCGGAAUAGGUGUUUUGGAGUUCGUUGGUCCCCAGUGGUGGUGAGUAUACUGGUAGCUAUACCAUUGACUGCUGGUUAUGUAUAUUUUGAUCAUCAUUGUGCUACUAACUAGCUACCUACCUAGUUACCUAGCUAGCUGGCUGGCAAACGUUAGCCUACCUCAAUACAACUAGGAGUUGUCUUGGAAACACAAUAACAUUUCAAAAGAAGGCAAAAGAUGUGUAGGAAAACCUUUUUAUCAUUAUUGUGAUGUCGCCAGAUUGACUAGAUGCAGUAUUACUGUAGUGCGCUAUCAUCAUUUUAGCUAGCUACCAUUACCAUUGCUAGCUAUUUUUGACAAACUUUGCUAGUAGCAGAAUGGGAAUUUUGACAUCCUCAUAAUAUGGCAAAGUUGUUUCCUACUAAUUAUUUGCCUACUUUAGCAAUGUCAUUGUAUUUCCAUGCCACUCUGAGUUAGUGUAAUUUAGACAACAGUCACAUUAGCCUUUGAGGUGCAACCCGUAUCUAGGGCAGUCUACAUCUGUAAAGCAUAGAAUUGGCUUCCAAACUAGAUUAUGUUAUUUCUCUACAUAUGUUUAUAAUUGAGGGAUGAUGAGUCGUUGACUGAUCCUUUGGUCAUGAACGAACGCUGCGUCCUAUAAUAUGUCUAGCGAUGGUUUUUAGCGACCUCCAAAAAUCAUUUUUGUUCUCUGUUCACUUGUUAUUUUCACCGCUUGUUAGACAAGACCUCAGAAUAAAAGUAUGUCAUGUGACAAUAGGACCCUUGUGACACCACUUCCGUUGUUGCCAGAGUCUCCCUGGACUCCUAUGAAAAGGACACGCUGUCAUGAGGCCUCUGAUAGUGACCCUAGUUACUGCCCUGAUGACACAGACAACUUAAUCAACAACUACAGGCCCUCCCAGUCAACACCACCUCAUAAGAUUGCCUGCUGCAGUUGUUCGAGAGAUGUCCAGUUUGCAGCCGGAAAUGCAGCAUAGAGAAGACCAGCAAGCGGGCCCCUCAUCAACAUCAUGCAGACAUGCCCUCGCUGUGAGCAUUCCCUAUGAAUGGAACAGUCAGCCACGUGUUGGCAAGUAUCUGGCCAGCAACCUUCACCUGCAACAGCUUUCACAGGCUCAUCAUUUGUACAAAUACAGAAGGAGCUGAUCCACGCUGCUAUGGCCAUCAACGGGCCGCUGGCGAAGACCGCAUCUCUUGGCUGCUCACUAACGGUCGAAACAUGUAUGGAGCCAGCACAUGGAGACUUGCAAGA